rnacentral:rRNA from 1 species
GGUUAAGCGACUAAGCGUACACGGUGGAUGCCCUGGCAGUCAGAGGCGAUGAAGGACGUGCUAAUCUGCGAAAAGCGUCGGUAAGGUGAUAUGAACCGUUAUAGCCGGCGAUGUCCGAAUGGGGAAACCCAGUGCAAUUCGUUGCACUAUCGUUAACUGAAUACAUAGGUUAACGAGGCGAACCGGGGGAACUGAAACAUCUAAGUACCCCGAGGAAAAGAAAUCAACCGAGAUUCCCCCAGUAGCGGCGAGCGAACGGGGAGCAGCCCGGAGUCUGAAUCAGCUUGUGUGUUAGUGGAAGCGUCUGGAAAGUCGCAGGGUACAGGGUGAUACUCCCGUACACUAAAACACACAGGUUGUGAACUCGAAGAGUAGGGCGGGACACGUGGUAUCCUGUCUGAAUAUGGGGGGACCAUCCUCCAAGGCUAAAUACUCCUGACUGACCGAUAGUGAACCAGUACCGUGAGGGAAAGGCGAAAAGAACCCCGGCGAGGGGAGUGAAAAAGAACCUGAAACCGUGUACGUACAAGCAGUAGGAGCCCCACCACCAAAGCGUUUCGCUUUGCGUGGUGCGCAAAAUGCGUAACGACAGCGCGAUGGACGGUUAACGGAGCGUAAGCGACGUUCAACAUCAAAAAUCAGGCAGUGGAGCGUUUUGGGGUGGGGUGACUGCGUACCUUUUGUAUAAUGGGUCAGCGACUUAUAUUCUGUAGCAAGGUUAACCGUAUAGGGGAGCCGCAGGGAAACCGAGUCUUAACUGGGCGUUAAGUUGCAGGGUACUGGAGGACCGAACCGACUAAUGUUGAAAAAUUAGCGGAUGACUUGUGGCUGGGGGUGAAAGGCCAAUCAAACCGGGAGAUAGCUGGUUCUCCCCGAAAGCUAUUUAGGUAGCGCCUCGUGAAUUCAUCUUCGGGGGUAGAGCACUGUUUCGGCUAGGGGGUCAUCCCGACUUACCAACCCGAUGCAAACUACGAAUACCGAAGAAUGUUAUCACGGGAGACACACGGCGGGUGCUAACGUCCGUCGUGAAGAGGGAAACAACCCAGACCGCCAGCUAAGGUCCCAAAGUCAUGGUUAAGUGGGAAACGAUGUGGGAAGGCCCAGACAGCCAGGAUGUUGGCUUAGAAGCAGCCAUCAUUUAAAGAAAGCGUAAUAGCUCACUGGUCGAGUCGGCCUGCGCGGAAGAUGUAACGGGGCUAAACCAUGCACCGAAGCUGCGGCAGCGACACUAUGUGUUGUUGGGUAGGGGAGCGUUCUGUAAGCCGUUGAAGGUGGCCUGUGAGGGUUGCUGGAGGUAUCAGAAGUGCGAAUGCUGACAUAAGUAACGAUAAUGCGGGUGAAAAACCCGCACGCCGGAAGACCAAGGGUUCCUGUCCAACGUUAAUCGGGGCAGGGUGAGUCGACCCCUAAGGCGAGGCCGAAAGGCGUAGUCGAUGGGAAACAGGUUAAUAUUCCUGUACUCGGUGUUACUGCGAAGGGGGGACGGAGAAGGCUAUGUUGGCCGGGCGACGGUUGUCCCGGUUUAAGCAUGUAGGCGGAUGUUCCAGGUAAAUCCGGAACGUCACUAACGCUGAGGUGUGAUGACGAGGCACUACGGUGCUGAAGUGACAAAUGCCCUGCUUCCAGGAAAAGCCUCUAAGCAUCAGGUAACAUCAAAUCGUACCCCAAACCGACACAGGUGGUCAGGUAGAGAAUACCAAGGCGCUUGAGAGAACUCGGGUGAAGGAACUAGGCAAAAUGGUGCCGUAACUUCGGGAGAAGGCACGCUGAUGGUAAGUGAAGUGACUUGCUCAUGGAGCUGAAAUCAGUCGAAGAUACCAGCUGGCUGCAACUGUUUAUUAAAAACACAGCACUGUGCAAACACGAAAGUGGACGUAUACGGUGUGACGCCUGCCCGGUGCCGGAAGGUUAAUUGAUGGGGUUAUCCGUAAGGAGAAGCUCUUGAUCGAAGCCCCGGUAAACGGCGGCCGUAACUAUAACGGUCCUAAGGUAGCGAAAUUCCUUGUCGGGUAAGUUCCGACCUGCACGAAUGGCGUAAUGAUGGCCAGGCUGUCUCCACCCGAGACUCAGUGAAAUUGAACUCGCUGUGAAGAUGCAGUGUACCCGCGGCAAGACGGAAAGACCCCGUGAACCUUUACUAUAGCUUGACACUGAACACUGGUCCUUGAUGUGUAGGAUAGGUGGGAGGCUUUGAAGUGUGGACGCCAGUCUGCAUGGAGCCAUCCUUGAAAUACCACCCUUUAAUGGCUGGUGUUCUAACGUGGGCCCCUAAUCGGGGUUGCGGACAGUGUCUGGUGGGUAGUUUGACUGGGGCGGUCUCCUCCUAAAGAGUAACGGAGGAGCACGAAGGUCAGCUAAUCCUGGUCGGACAUCAGGAGGUUAGUGCAAUGGCAUAAGCUGGCUUGACUGCGAGCGUGACGGCGCGAGCAGGUGCGAAAGCAGGUCAUAGUGAUCCGGUGGUUCUGAAUGGAAGGGCCAUCGCUCAACGGAUAAAAGGUACUCCGGGGAUAACAGGCUGAUACCGCCCAAGAGUUCAUAU